rnacentral:rRNA from 1 species
GACGGGGGAUGCAAGUGUUAUCCGGAAUCACUGGGCGUAAAGCGUCUGCAGGUGGUUUCCUAAGUCCACUGUUAAACCUUGAGGCUCAACCUCAAAAUCUGCAUUGGAAACUAGGAGACUUGAGUAUAGUAGGGGUAGAGGGAAUUUCCAGUGGAGCGGUGAAAUGCGUAGAUAUUGGAAAGAACACCGAUGGCGAAGGCAACUCUACUGGGCUAUUACUGACACUCAGAGACGAAAGCUAGGGGAGCAAAUGGG